rnacentral:rRNA from 1 species
GCGGCAGGCUAACACAUGCAAGUCGAGCGCGAAAACACUUCGGUGUGAGUAGAGCGGCGGACGGGUGAGUAAUGCUUGGGAAUCUGCCCAGUAGUGGGGGAUAACGUGUGGAAACGCACGCUAAUACCGCAUACGUCCUACGGGAGAAAGCAGGGGAUCUUCGGACCUUGCGCUAUUGGAUGAGCCCAAGUCGGAUUAGCUAGUUGGUGGGGUAAUGGCCUACCAAGGCGACGAUCCGUAGCUGGUCUGAGAGGAUGAUCAGCCACACUGGGACUGAGACACGGCCCAGACUCCUACGGGAGGCAGCAGUGGGGAAUAUUGCACAAUGGGCGAAAGCCUGAUGCAGCCAUGCCGCGUGUGUGAAGAAGGCUCUAGGGUUGUAAAGCACUUUCAGUAGGGAGGAAAAGCUUAAGGUUAAUAACCUUGAGCCCUGACGUUACCUACAGAAGAAGCACCGGCAAACUCCGUGCCAGCAGCCGCGGUAAUACGGAGGGUGCGAGCGUUAAUCGGAAUUACUGGGCGUAAAGCGCGCGUAGGUGGUUUGAUAAGCUAGCUGUGAAAGCCCCGGGCUCAACCUGGGAACUGCAGUUAGAACUGUCUGACUAGAGUACAGUAGAGGGUGGCGGAAUUUCCUGUGUAGCGGUGAAAUGCGUAGAUAUAGGAAGGAACAUCAGUGGCGAAGGCGGCCACCUGGACUGAUACUGA